rnacentral:rRNA from 1 species
AAUUAGAGAUGUGCUUACUGCACUUUUCUUAUCUACACACGUGUUUUUGUUUUAUUCUUAAAACUUGCUUUGGCAGUGGCUGCUUAAUUGCUCUGCUGCCAGAGGAUAAACUCAACCUAAAUUUUUUAUUUUAAACUAGUCAACUGAUUAUAUUUAUUAAUAGUCAAAACUUUCAACAACGGAUCUCUUGGUUCUCGCAUCGAUGAAGAACGCAGCGAAAUGCGAUAAGUAAUAUGAAUUGCAGAUAUUCGUGAAUCAUCGAAUCUUUGAACGCACAUUGCGCCCUCUGGUAUUCCGGAGGGCAUGCCUGUUUGAGCGUCAUUUCUCCCUCAAACCCCCGGGUUUGGUGAUGAGCAAUACGCCAGGUUUGCUUGAAAGUUAGGAGGAGUAUUUAUAACAAUGUAUUAGGUCUAACCACUCCAUUGUGCUUAAUAAAAGCUCCAAUCUAUAUUUCAAACUUCGACCUCAAAUCAGGUAGGAUUACCCGCUGAACUUAAGCAUAUCAAAAGGCGGGAGGAAGAAAUUUGGGGGUUG